CCAGAACACGCUAGUCUCGCACCCAGACUAACCGAACGCAUACUCUCGCACCCGGGUUGCUCGGUCGACCGGCGCUAUUUUGUACUGGGCUGCCAAAGUGUGUUCGCCGGCGACCAGUAGACAUGGCAAGCGCCAGCUCUAGGGCUCCAAAGUGCGGAAAUGUGCCCGUUCACACGGAUCCAAAGUAGAAGAAGUCAUCUGGGCAUCAUUGCGUCGUGUUUAGAUGCCAAAACAACCAGCGGAGAAGGAGCAGGUUGCUUAGCGCUGUUUGCGAAGAGCACAACACACGUUGGGAAUCGUGCCGGUGCGGUGUUUUCAGCCUGCGCCGAUUUCUAUCCACAACGAAGAAUGCCAAGCUGCGCCACCGGUGGAUAGCUGCAGUGAAUAGGAAGAACUACCAACCCAGUGAAAAUGCACGAGUUUGCUCCGAGCACUUUCUGGGCAACAAGCCUACAGAGCAGAAUCCCGCGCCGGUGCUUCGCCUUGGCUAUAACAAAAAGUGUGCAGGUGGUGAAGGGCAGGCGUCUGCUAACCAGGCAGUCAAACGACCUCGCCAGUUGGUUGCCAAGCGCGGCCAACCCAGUAGAGACCAUUACAAACAAGACCAAACUGAAAGUGCAGAUGACAGUGUUCUGCGUGCUUUAAUAAUAUAUGGCACCAACACAGUGCUGUAAAUUCCUUCACAGGUUACGUGCCAAAAAGCUCACAGGUGUUCUAGCAUAUAGCGCGCGGUUUGUACAAACGUAAUAGCGUACCUACCCGAUGUAUUCGCUUCUGCAGUCUGCACAGCACUCAGUGUGUCCAUUGUGGAC